GCCUAUAAUGCAAGUUGAGCGAUGAAGAUUGGUGCUUGCACCAAUUUGAAGAGCAGCGAACGGGUGAGUAACGCGUGGGGAAUCUGCCUUUGAGCGGGGGACAACAUUUGGAAACGAAUGCUAAUACCGCAUAACAACUUUAAACAUAAGUUUUAAGUUUGAAAGAUGCAAUUGCAUCACUCAAAGAUGAUCCCGCGUUGUAUUAGCUAGUUGGUGAGGUAAAGGCUCACCAAGGCGAUGAUACAUAGCCGACCUGAGAGGGUGAUCGGCCACAUUGGGACUGAGACACGGCCCAAACUCCUACGGGAGGCAGCAGUAGGGAAUCUUCGGCAAUGGACGAAAGUCUGACCGAGCAACGCCGCGUGAGUGAAGAAGGUUUUCGGAUCGUAAAACUCUGUUGGUAGAGAAGAACGUUGGUGAGAGUGGAAAGCUCAUCAAGUGACGGUAACUACCCAGAAAGGGACGGCUAACUACGUGCCAGCAGCCGCGGUAAUACGUAGGUCCCGAGCGUUGUCCGGAUUUAUUGGGCGUAAAGCGAGCGCAGGUGGUUUAUUAAGUCUGGUGUAAAAGGCAGUGGCUCAACCAUUGUAUGCAUUGGAAACUGGUGGACUUGAGUGCAGGAGAGGAGAGUGGAAUUCCCUGUGUAGCGGUGAAAUGCGUAGAUAUAUGGAGGAACACCGGUGGCGAAAGCGGCUCUCUGGCCUGUCNCUGACACUGAGGC
rnacentral:rRNA from 1 species